rnacentral:rRNA from 1 species
UGGGGAAUAUUGCGCAAUGGGCGAAAGCCUGACGCAGCGACGCCGCGUGGGGGAUGACGGCCUUCGGGUUGUAAACCUCUUUCAGCAGGGACGAAGCCGUGAGGUGACGGUACCUGCAGAAGAAGCACCGGCCAACUACGUGCCAGCAGCCGCGGUAAUACGUAGGGUGCAAGCGUUGUCCGGAAUUAUUGGGCGUAAAGAGCUCGUAGGCGGUUCGUCGCGUCGGCUGUGAAAACCUGAGGCUCAACCUCAGGCCUGCAGUCGAUACGGGCGGACUUGAGUACUGCAGGGGAGACUGGAAUUCCUGGUGUAGCGGUGAAAUGCGCAGAUAUCAGGAGGAACACCGGUGGCGAAGGCGGGUCUCUGGGCAGUAACUGACGCUGAGGAGCGAAAGCGUGGGGAGCGAACAGGAUUAGAUACCCUGGUAGUCCACGCCGUAAAACGUUGGGCGCUAGGUGUGGGGGCCAUUCCACGGUCUCCGUGCCGCAGCUAACGCAUUAAGCGCCCGCCUGGGGAGUACGGCCGCAAGGCUAAAACUCAAAGGAAUUGACGGGGUCAUAGCUGUUUCCU